rnacentral:lncRNA from 1 species
CCUCCAUCUGAUGGAGGGCUUCUCCUAGCUCCUAAAGCUUCACCUCGCACUGGGCUCCUCAUCAGGUAGUAAAGUUCUUUUGUCCUCUUCUUCUCCUCCAGAAUAAUCCUAUCACCGUGCAAUACCUUUAGAAUUCUUCCACCAGCUACCGUCUUGUAGCCUCUCGAAUCCAGUUUGCUCAGUGAGAUAAAAUUCCAUCGAAACUUGGAUAUAUAUCGGACCUCC